rnacentral:rRNA from 1 species
ACGGGAGGCAGCGGUGGGGAAUAUUGGACAAUGGGGGAAACCCUGAUCCAGCGACGCCGCGUGAGUGAAGAAGUAUUUCGGUAUGUAGAGCUCUAUCAGCAAGGAAGAAAAUGACGGUACUUGACUAAGAAGCCCCGGCUAACUACGUGCCAGCAGCCGCGGUAAUACGUAGGGGGCAAGCGUUAUCCGGAUUUACUGGGUGUAAAGGGAGCGUAGACGGCAAUGUAAGUCUGAAGUGAAAGCCCCGGGCUCAACCCGGGAACUGCUUUGGAAACUGUAUAGCUAGAGUGCAGGAGAGGUAAGUGGAAUUCCUAGUGUAGUGGUGAAAUGCGUAGAUAUUAGGAGGAACACCAGUGGCGAAGGCGGCUUACUGGACUGUAACUGACGUUGAGGCUCGAAAGCGUGGGGAGCAAACAGGAUUAGAUACCCUGGUA